UACGUAGGGGGCAAGCGUUGUCCGGAUUUAUUGGGCGUAAAGAGCGUGUAGGCGGCUUUGCAAGUCCGUUGUGAAAACUCGAGGCUCAACCUCGAGACGCCGGUGGAAACUGCAAAGCUAGAGUCCGGAAGAGGCGAGUGGAACUCCUGGUGUAGCGGUGGAAUGCGCAGAUAUCAGGAAGAACACCAACGGCGAAGGCAGCUCGCUGGGACGGAACUGACGCUAAGGCGCGAAAGCGUGGGGAGCGAACAGG
rnacentral:rRNA from 1 species